rnacentral:ncRNA from 1 species
GGCUUUCUUCGCGCGGGAGCUCGACCCGCGACUGCCGAGGUAGUCGCGUUCAUCGACGACCACAAGGAUGUGGCCGGGGUCGAGCCGAUCUGCGGGAUUCUGCAGUUUGCCCCG